GGCAGAAAGUUUGAGGGCACCAACGUUACCUAUAAAUGUCAAAUAGUUACAGACAUUGCUAGAUAAAGUUCUAAUGCCAUUACAAACUCCAUGUUUGUCCUUUGUAAUUUCUUGCUCAACAAAAAAAGCUCUACAUGGAUGAUGGAUGGGAGAAAUUGCUUUGCAUGUUUUAUGGAAGCCUACAAUCCAGUCACCUUUGUUGUUUCGAAAGACUCCUCCAAGUCCUACCCUGCUACUGUUGUUAUCAAAAGCACCAUCACAGUUUAAUUUAAUAAAGCCUUUGUCAGGCUUUAUCCAACUAAUUUCUACAUUGAUUGUUCUUUCCACAAAAGGAUUUCUUUCAGUGAAGAAAGUAAAUUCCCAAGAUGCAUGUAUGACCUUUCUUAUAUCCAGGUUGUUAUUUAAGUUGUUGAUGUUAUUAUUGUUCCUGUUUUUUCAUAGUUCCCAUAUACAAUAGGGAAAUAUAGUAAUCCACUUUUCAGAAAUUGUAAUUUUUAAUAAAGAAAUUUUGUUAAGUUUGCUA